AUGACCCUACCAACGAGACGACGAGGUAGUCGGCCCUGCCUAAGGGUGUCCGGGCCACACUGGGGACUGAGAUACGGCCCGACUCCUACGGGAGGCAGCAGUAGGGAAUAUUGCACAAUGGGCGCAAGCCUGAUGCAGCGACGCCGCGUGGGGGAUGACGGCCUUCGGGUUGUAAAACUCUUUCACCAUCGGCGAAGUCGCUGGGCCAGCAGUGACGGUAGGUGGAGAAGAAGCACCGGCCAACUACGUGCCAGCAGCCGCGGUAAUACGUAGGGUGCGAGCGUUGUCCGGAAUUACUGGGCGUAAUGAGCUCGUAGGUGGUUUGUCGCGUUGUCCGUGAAAUACCCUCGCUUAACAGGGGGCGUGCGGGCGAUACGGGCAGACUGGAGUACUGCAGGGGAGACUGGAAUUCCUGGUGUAGCGGUGGAAUG
rnacentral:rRNA from 1 species